GCCUAAAGCGUCCGUAGCCGGCUUUGUAAGUUUUCGGUUAAAUCUAUAUGCUCAACAUAUAGGCUGCCGGGAAUACUGCAAAGCUAGGGAGUGGGAGAGGUAGACGGUACUCCGUAGGAAGGGGUAAAAUCCUUUGAUCUAUGGAUGACCACCUGUGGCGAAGGCGGUCUACCAGAACACGUCUGACGGUGAGGGAUGAAAGCUGGGGGAGCAAACCGGAUUAGAUACCCGGGUAGUCCCAGCUGUAAACUAUGCAAACUCAGUGAUGCAUUGGCUUGUGGCCAGUGCAGUGCCGCAGGGAAGCCGUUAAGUUUGCCGCCUGGGAAGUACGUACGCAAGUAUGAAACUUAAAGGAAUUGGCGGGGGAGCACCACAAGGGGUGAAGCCUGCGGUUCAAUUGGAGUCAACGCCAGAAAUCUUACCCGGAGAGACAGCAGGAUGAAGGUCAAGCUGAAGACUUUACCAGACAAGCUGAGAAGUGGUGCAUGGCCGUCGCCAGCUCGUGCCGUGAGGUGUCCUGUUAAGUCAGGUAACGAGCGAGAUCCUUGCCUCUAGUUGCUACCAUUACUCUCAGGAGUAGUGGAGCGAAUUAGCGGGACUGCCGUAGUUAAUACGGAGGAAGGAGAGGGCCACGGCAGGUCAGUAUGCCCC
rnacentral:rRNA from 1 species